CUGUAGAGCCUACCCCUGAAGUUCAGAGGGCAACAGCUGAAUUCAUGGCUGCAUGGAAUGCUGCUGCUCAGAAGGCUACACUGAUCCAGUCAUCUCUCGUGAAUCUGCUCAAGCUCCUACACAGGUUGGUGCAAACGGAUGCUGUCAAGAAGGCAACACAGAGUUUAUGGCGGCAUACAAUGCAGCUGCUAGAGCACCCGUUGUUGAACAGGCAGUGUCAACCAUCCCACAACAAGUCCAGGGACUGAAGAGGUUAAGAGAGCUACAGCAGAAUUCAUGAAUGCAUGGCAUGCAGCUGCUCAACGAGCAUCAGCCAUUAAGCAGACAGUAUCCUCAGGACCACAGCCAGUGCAAGCAACUGAUGCAGUGCAGAGAGCUACAGCUGCAUUCAUGACUGCUUGGAAUGAAGCUGCUUCCCGAGUUCCAAGGAUCGAGACAACCAUGUAUACUCUGUCAGGCUCAAGUGCACUGGAUACCUGUGCUGCUUGUGCAGCCCCAUCACCUGUCUGAUACCCUGAGGUUAGAGCUGCCAAAGAACAGUUCAUGGCCACAUUCAGAGCUGCUGAAGCGGCUGCUCGCCGCGCAUCUGUAUCCCGUGGUGUACUGCCUGUUCCCUCAGUGUUGGCUGUGCAUGCCCCAUCUCAUGUCGUAACAUACAGCACAGGUGCCCCUGCCCACAGUUACGUUCUUUCUGACCGUCUCUUUGCUCCAUUCCAAGGACUUCCACUUCAUGUGAAGGACUGCGAUUAGAAAUCCUGUAUGACUGAUCUAGCUAUUAUCAUUUAUAGAAUCUUGUUACUUUUUCACGACAAAUGCGAUUGUAAAUAAAAACUAAAGAAAUCAGAAUGUCAUGGUAUUAAAAUGUUUGACACGAAACAUUA